CUCAAGGCUGUGCUGUCCCACCGCGUGACGCAGGAGGAGAGCAGGGGCCGGAUCGGCCCGAUCAGACUGUCCCCAGCAGUGGGAUGAGAGACCGUGGAAAGCUACGUUUUGUCAUCUCUUCAGAUCUCACGGGUGAAGGGAGGAGACGCGGAACGCCCAACACGCAGAAGCAGCCUGGGAAAGCAGGAUUUGGAAGGAAAACGCGUUUAAUUCACGUCCUAAAGGAAAAAAAAAAGAAAGAACUGGAGAUUGAAAACGGCAAAGCUACGUUUUACGGAUCACUUUCGGAAAUACAAAAAAAAAAAGAACAACGAGCACGGAGGUUUUUUUUUUCCCAUCAUAUAAAAAUGAUUAACUGCCACAUAUAAUAAUGACGCUGUCACAGCCUGAACUAUUAAUAUACCGUAUCUAAGGUUGUAUUUC
rnacentral:lncRNA from 1 species